rnacentral:rRNA from 1 species
UACGGGGGGGGCGAGCGUUGUCCGAAGUUACUGGGCGUAAAGCGCGUGUAGGCGGGUUGUUAAGUCCGCUGUGAAAGCCCGGUGCUCAACGCCGGAGGGUCGGUGGAUACUGGCAGUCUUGAAGUGGCUAGGGGGAAAUGGAAUUACCGGUGUAGCGGUGAAAUGCGUAGAUAUCGGUAGGAACACCAGUGGCGAAGGCGGUUUCCUGGAGCUAACUUGACGUUGAGACGCGAAAGCUGGGGGAGCAAACGGG